GAUGAAGAACGUAGCGAAAUGCGAUACUUGGUGUGAAUUGCAGAAUCCCGUGAACCAUCGAGUCUUUGAACGCAAGUUGCGCCCGAAGCCACUAGGCCGAGGGCACGCCUGCCUGGGCGUCACACGUCGUUGCCCCCCCCCAUCUACUCCUUCGGGAUUGCGGGGGGCGGAUGAUGGCCUCCCGUGCGCCUAGCCGCGCGGUUGGCAUAAAUACCAAGUCCUCGGCGACGCACGCCACGACAAUCGGUGGUUGCGAAACCUCGGUUGCCCGUCGUGUGCGUUCGUCGCACAUCGAGGGCUCGAAAAAAUGCUCGGCUCCGGCUCGGCUUUCAACGCGACCCCAGGUCAGGCGGGGUUACCCGCUGAAUUUAAGCAUAUCAAUAAGCGGAGGA
rnacentral:misc_RNA from 1 species